UGGGGAUAUUGCACAAUGGAGGAAACUCUGAUGCAGCGACGCCGCGUGAGGGAAGAAGGUUUUCGGAUUGUAAACCUCUGUCUUCGGGGACGAUAAUGACGGUACCCGAGGAGGAAGCUACGGCUAACUACGUGCCAGCAGCCGCGGUAAUACGUAGGUGGCAAGCGUUGUCCGGAAUUACUGGGUGUAAAGGGAGCGUAGGCGGUUUGGUAAGUUGGGCGUUUAAUCUACGGGCUCAACCCGUAUAAGCGUUCAAAACUACCAAACUUGAGUGAAGUAGAGGCAGGCGGAAUUCCCGGUGUAGCGGUGGAAUGCGUAGAUAUCGGGAGGAACACCAGUGGCGAAGGCGGCCUGCUGGGCUUUUACUGACGCUGAUGCUCGAAAGCAUGGGGAGCAAAC
rnacentral:rRNA from 1 species